GCCUGGGUGGCUCAAUGGUUGAGCAUCUGCCUUCAGCUGAUCCCGGGGUCCUGGGAUCGAGUCCCACAUCAGGCU
rnacentral:tRNA from 1 species